rnacentral:rRNA from 1 species
GUGGCGAGCGAAACUGUAUGAGCCUAAACCGUGUGCGUGUCAAGCGUGCUGGUGUUGCGUACAUGGUGUUGUGGGGUGUGUGUGUUCGGUUCAGCAUGACCGAGACGCUGAUGAGUUCUUACGUGUAGUCGAAGCUGGUGGGAAACAGUACCGGAGUGGUUGAGAGUCCCGUAGACGAAACGCGUGGCCCCAGUGUUACACACUCUCCCGAGUAGCACGGAACUCGUGGAAUUCUGUGUGAAUCUGCCUGG